AACGAACGCUGGCGGCAUGCCUAACACAUGCAAGUCGAACGAGACCUUCGGGUCUAGUGGCGCACGGGGUUGUAACGCGAGGGAACCUGCACUUAUGGUCGGAAUAACUCUCCGACAGGGGUGCUAAUACCGGAUAAUAUCUACUGACCAAAGAUUUAUCGACUUUGGAUGGGCCCGCGUUGGAUAAGAUCUUUCUUAGGGUAAAAGCCUACCACGGCGUCGAUCCGUAACUGGUCUGGGAGGCAGAUCAGCCACACUGAGAGUGAGAGACGACCCAGACUCCUACGGGAGGGAGCAGUGCGGAAUAUUGGACAGUGGCCUAAAGGAUGAUCCAGCUCUGACGGGUGAGUGAUGAAAGCAUUAGAGUUCUAAAGCUCUUUUAACCGGGCUGAUAAUGACAGUACCGGGAGAAAAAGCUCCGGCUAACUCCGUG
rnacentral:rRNA from 1 species